AUACGGAGGGUGCGAGCGUUAAUCGGAAUUACUGGGCGUAAAGCGUACGCAGGCGGUUGGUUAAGUUAGAUGUGAAAGCCCCGGGCUUAACCUGGGAACUGCAUUUAAAACUGGCGAACUAGAGUUGGGUAGAGGGGAGUGGAAUUUCAGGUGUAGCGGUGAAAUGCGUAGAGAUCUGAAGGAACACCAGUGGCAAAGGCGACUCCCUGGACUCGAACUGACGCUGAGGUACGAAAGCGUGGGUAGCAAACGGGAUUAGAAACCCCAGUAGUCC
rnacentral:rRNA from 1 species